AGUUGCAAAUAUCGUGGUGGCA
rnacentral:miRNA from 1 species